UACAGAGGUCUCAAGCGUUGUUCGGAUUCAUUGGGCGUAAAGGGUGCGUAGGUGGCGGGGCCAGUCAGGUGUGAAAUCCCGGGGCUUAACCCUGGAACUGCAUUUGAUACUGCCUUGCUGGAGAACUGGAGAGGAGACUGGAAUUUACGGUGUAGCAGUGAAAUGCGUAGAGAUCGUAAGGAAGACCAGUGGCGAAGGCGAGUCUCUGGACAGUUACUGACACUGAGGCACGAAGGCCAGGGAAGCAAACGGG
rnacentral:rRNA from 1 species